rnacentral:rRNA from 1 species
AUUGAACGCUGGCGGCGUGCCUAACACAUGCAAGUCGAGCGGCAGCGCGGGAGCAAUCCUGGCGGCGAGCGGCGGACGGGUGAGUAAUGCUUGGGAAUCUGCCUGUUAGUGGGGGACAACCCGGGGAAACUCGGGCUAAUACCGCAUACGCACUACGGUGGAAAGCCGGGGACCGCAAGGCCUGGCGCUAACAGAUGAGCCCAAGUCGGAUUAGCUAGUUGGAGGGUAACGGCCUACCAAGGCGACGAUCCGUAACUGGUCUGAGAGGACGACCAGCCACACCGGAACUGAGACACGGUCCGGACUCCUACGGGAGGCAGCAGUGGGGAAUAUUGGACAAUGGGGGAAACCCUGAUCCAGCGACGCCGCGUGGGUGAAGAAGGCCUGCGGGUUGUAAAGCCCUUUCAGUGGGGAAGAAAGCCUCGACCUAACACGUCGGGGUCUUGACGUAACCCAUAGAAGAAGCACCGGCUAACUCUGUGCCAGCA